rnacentral:rRNA from 1 species
AUUGAACGCUGGCGGCAGGCCUAACACAUGCAAGUCGAGCGAGCGGCGGACGGGUGAGUAAUGUCUGGAAAACUGCCUGAUGGAGGGGGAUAACUACUGGAAACGGUAGCUAAUCCCGCAUACCAUCAGAUGUGCCCCGAUGGUAUUAGCUAGUAGGUGGGGUAAUGGCUCACCUAGGCGACGAUCCCUAGCUGGUCGGAGAGGAUGACCAGACACACGGGAACUGAGACACGGUCCAGACUCCUACGGGAGGCAGCAGUGGGGAAUAUUGCACAAUGGGCGCAAGCCUGAUGCAGCCAUGCCGCGUGGAUGAAGAAGGCCUUCGGGUUGUAAAGUACUUUCAGCGGGGAGGCGUUACCCGCAGAAGAAGCACCGGCUAACUCCGUGCCAGCAGCCGCGGUAAUUC